GCUAUUUGAGGAGCAAUGAGAAGCCACUGCAGAAAUGUCUGAGGGAGAUAAGGGUGCACAGUACACAAAUCCAUGGAGGACAGAGUAAACAUGGAAGAUUGGAUGCAGCUGCCAACAUGAGAAAUCAUUAAAUCGCUAAUUGCUGGAAGCAGAAGGGAUCUUACUACACUUCUUUCCUAAGCAGACACUGCAGCUGAGGACAAAGUUAUCGUUUGGAUGCAAACACAGAAGGGGUUGCUGCUUCUGAUGCUGAAAAGGAGUUGUGACGUAUGCUGGCGAGAUCAAAUUCUGCUCUAAUUCCCCUCUGCUCUACUUAGGCCAAUGAAAGGAGCCUAUAGUUGCUUUUUCUAAAGGGACGAUGUGAGCUGCUGUGCAUUGUGUUCCUGUCUGAUCUCCACGUUCAUAAUAUUUCUAUCAGCUACCACUGGAAAUCACAAGUCCCCAGCAGUCAGGACCGUCAGCACACCAGCCCCUCCAUCACUGAAAUUCAGAGGUUAAUUUAAUAUAACUAAAAGAACUAAUGGCUGGCUUCUGCACAUGCAACUGAAUGUCAACACAGAACAAAGCAUAUGCUUAUCAGAAUUAGGUAGAUACUGCUUAGCCUCUUGAAAGAAGAAGAGAGUGAAGGAAAGAGCACAUUUGGUCCUUGAUUUGCUGGACGGUAAUUUGGAGGGAACACUAAUUUAAGCAGAAGAAUAGGAAAUUACUGA
rnacentral:lncRNA from 14 species